GCCAUCUCUCGAAAGUUAUGAGAUCCCAGGCUGGGGGAGAAGCGAAGAACCAAAGGCCCCCUUUAUAGAGGCAGUCGACGAGCCAGGAAGCUUUUAGAGGAACAUACUUGGAAGCAAAUCUGGGGAUGCAGAAUGUGCCAUGGCCUGAACGACCACAUCCGUACCAAGGCUGGUAGUGUGGGAGGCCACCGAGCCGAGGAUGGAGACAAGAAAAGACGACCAGACGUGUGGUUCACCAUUGGCCGCCACCAUUGACCGGCAGUCACCACGCGUUGUCGCUGCCAUCGUCUUCACGGUAGGUAAUGCAGCUCAAUCCCAACCUGCAGUGAGAUCAUCUUUCUCGUCAAUGUCGAGAUGGACGGGAAAGUUUAUUUUAUGAAAGGUUUACUAUAA